AAACUGGCUGUGGUCCCCUUCAAUGCUGUGGGAAGUUUGUUCUUUUGCCCCUGGCAAUAAAUCUUGCUGCUGCUAACUCUUUGGGUCUGCGCCACCUUUGAGAGCUGUAACACUCACUCUGAAGGUCUGCAGCUUCACUCCUGAAAUCAGCCAGACCAGGAACCCACCAGAAGGAAGAAAUGCCGGACAUGUCCGAACAUCAGCAGGAACAAACUCGGGACACACCAUCUUUAAGAACGGAAAGGGGUGCCAAUCCAGACCCCAAGAGAGGGCUCUUGAAUCACACUCAACAAAGAACCUAGGGCUAUGUGGUUUGUCUGAGAGUUUUUUCAAAUGUCAUCAUAAUCUCCAAAAGAUUUUCCAGUAUAUUUAUUGAAAAAAUCUACAGCCAGCAGAACUGACUAUACUAGAAUGUUCACAGCAACACUGUUUGUACGAGCCUGAAAUUGGAAACUACUCAAGAACCUAUCAACAGGAAAAUGGUACUUGAAAAAGAGCCAUAAGAAGCAGCAUGAGGGGCUUAUAUUAACAUACACAUACUGACACUGAAAAGAGCAGAAGAAAAGCAAAAGAUGAAGACCAAGGUUGUUUUUCUCUUAUAACCUAGAGCAUAUGUGUUAUAGUGGGUGUAUCACAUUUCAUUGAAUCUAUCUAAGGUAU